AUUGAACGCUGGCGGCAUGCCUUACACAUGCAAGUCGAACGGUAACGCGGGGCAACCUGGCGACGAGUGGCGAACGGGUGAGUAAUGCAUCGGAACGUGCCCGGUCGUGGGGGAUAACGCAGCGAAAGCUGCGCUAAUACCGCAUACGAUCUGAGGAUGAAAGCGGGGGACCGUAAGGCCUCGCGCGAUCCGACCGGCCGAUGUCAGAUUAGGUAGUUGGUGGGGUAAAGGCUCACCAAGCCAACGAUCUGUAGCUGGUCUGAGAGGACGACCAGCCACACUGGGACUGAGACACGGCCCAGACUCCUACGGGAGGCAGCAGUGGGGAAUUUUGGACAAUGGGCGAAAGCCUGAUCCAGCAAUGCCGCGUGCAGGAAGAAGGCCUUCGGGUUGUAAACUGCUUUUGUACGGAGCGAAAAGGUCUCCUCUAAUACAGGGGGCUCAUGACGGUACCGUAAGAAUAAGCACCGGCUAACUACGUGCCAGCCGCCGCCGUAA
rnacentral:rRNA from 1 species